GGAUUAGGCAUGCAAGUCGCACGAGAAAGGCUUCUUCGGAGGCCGAGUAAAGUGGCGGACGGGUGAGUAAUGCAUGGAUAACUUGCCCUUGAGAUGGGGACAACGCCUCGAAAGGGGUGCUAAUACCCAAUACCGCCGUGGGUCGCCGGAUCUGCGGUGAAAGGAGGCCUCUGAUUUAAGCUUCCGCUCAAGGAGAGGUUCAUGUCCUAUUAGCUAGUUGGCGGGGUAACGGCCCACCAAGGCUUCGAUGGGUAGCCGACCUGAGAGGGUGACCGGCCACAUUGGGACUGAGACACUGCCCAGACUCCUACGGGAGGCUGCAGUCGAGAAUCUUCCGCAAUGCGCGCAAGCGUGACGGAGCGACGCCGCGUGGGUGACGAAGGCCUUCGGGUUGUAAAACCCUGUCAGCUGUUAUGAAAGGCGGGCGAUGAACAAUUGUCCCGCUUGACGUAAGCAGCAGAGGAAGCACCGGCUAACUACGUGCCAGCAGCCGCGGUAAUACGUAGGGUGCGAACGUUGUUCGGAAUCACUGGGCAUAAAGGGCGUGUAGGCGGUCGUACAAGUCAGAUGUGAAAGCCCCCGGCCUAACCGGGGAACUGCAUUUGAUACUGUGCGGCUAGAGUGCAGGAGGGGAGAGUGGAAUUCCUGGUGGAGCGGUGAAAUGCGUAGAUAUCAGGAGGAACGCCGGUGGCGAAAGCGACUCUCUGGCCUGCAACUGACGCUGAGGCGCGAAAGCUAGGGGAGCAAACGGGAUUAGAUACCCCGGUAGUCCUAGCCCUAAACGAUGGGCACUAAGUAGAGGGGUUUU
rnacentral:rRNA from 1 species